rfam:Nematostella vectensis strain CH2 x CH6 NEMVEscaffold_523_Cont29317, whole genome shotgun sequence.
GCACUGGUGGUUCAGUGGUAGAAUUCUCGCAUGCCACGCGGGAGGCCCGGGUUCGAUUUCCGGCCAGUGCA